rnacentral:rRNA from 1 species
UACGGAGGGCGCGAGCGUUGUCCGGAAUCACUGGGCGUAAAGGGCGCGUAGGUGGUCUGAUAAGGGUGUGGUGAAAGUCCGGGGCUCAACCCCGGAUCUGCCGUGCCGACUGUCAGACUCGAGGACUGUAGAGGCAGGCGGAAUUCCGGGUGUAGCGGUGGAAUGCGUAGAGAUCCGGAGGAAGACCGGUGGCGAAGGCGGCCUGCUGG